rnacentral:rRNA from 1 species
AUACGUAGGGUGCAAGCGUUAAUCGGAAUUACUGGGCGUAAAGCGUGCGCAGGCGGUUUUGUAAGACAGUGGUGAAAUCCCCGGGCUCAACCUGGGAACUGCCAUUGUGACUGCAAGGCUGGAGUGCGGCAGAGGGGGAUGGAAUUCCGCGUGUAGCAGUGAAAUGCGUAGAUAUGCGGAGGAACACCGAUGGCGAAGGCAAUCCCCUGGGCCUGCACUGACGCUCAUGCACGAAAGCGUGGGGAGCAAACAGGAUUAGAUACCCUGGUAGUCCACGCCCUAAACGAUGUCAACUGGUUGUUGGGGAUUUAUUUUCUCAGUAACGAAGCUAACGCGUGAAGUUGACCGCCUGGGGAGUACGGCCGCAAGGUUGAAACUCAAAUGAAUUGACGGGG